GUUUUUGCUUCCAGCAAGACAACGUGGUGUGUUUCCAUUGCAUGCACUGAAGCACCUGACUGAAUGAGUCCGAGUGACAGAAGUCAGGAUUGAGAACAGCCUGUGGAUCUAGCAGAUCCUCUUGAAUCUAUGUAUUACCUGAAUGAAACAUUCAAUGUCAUAAAAAAUAGCCUUUCUUUAUAUUAGUCUCCAGGGCAAUUUCUCCUAAGGUGCCUUAAUAGAAUUACUAAUACUUCAAAUCAUCCUAUACAUUCAUCAACAUCAGUGUUUUCUCAUCAGUAAAUUUACUCAUAGCUUUUACGCAGCUUUUCCCCACAUUUUUUGGCUGCUGAUAUGAGUACUCUGGGUAUGGAUGUAAUAUUCGGGAAGUUGCGUGUGUGCAGUGUGAUUGCUGAUAUCAAGUGUGCUUCCCAAAAGCACCAGAUGCGGUUCUAAAUCAAGCUGAGCCUCCGAGCUUUGGGAAGUGGCUGAUAUCACAGAGCCUCAGGAAGACUGUAAAGGUGUUGCCAAAUGGCACAUGUCCAAUUAGCUUCCUCAGUGGCAUAUUUAGGACAACUAGGGGAGACUGGUGGAUACGGGAGACUUACGGGCAAUACCACAGAAAAUGUGAUGAACAAUGUUGUCCCUCUGCUCUCACAUGUCCUCCUGGGUUGGUUCCAUCAUUUUUUUGGAGGUGAUAAUAGGUUUGUCUAUUCUCUUUUGAUCUCUUAUCUUUUUUCUUCUCAGGACUAUUCUGACUUCAGAGUCAGCAUUGUAUUGAAUAGUCUAAAACUGAAUCUCCAUUUUUUUUUUUAAAAAAGAAUAUAUAUAUUUAUUUAUUUUAUUUUAUUUUAUUUAUUUUUUAUUUUAUUAUAUUAUCAUGUUUCCAAGACAAAGGAGUGCCUGUAAUCUGUGAUGGAAUGAAAGCAGUGGAGACUGAAAACAGUUUUUAGAGACAAUAGACAGACAUAUCCACAAUGUAGUUGACAUGGUCAAAUGCUGAAGGGCUACUAAGAAAAUUAUGUAGUUUUUGCAUCUCAUGUGUGGAUAAUUAUAUUUACUAUAAAUACUGUCAGUAACACAGAAAAGUUGCUAGAUAGUUGGAAAUUACAGAGGGAACUAAGAACUGUUCCAUAU
rnacentral:lncRNA from 1 species